GGGUUGUGAGGUUAAGCGACUAAGCGUACACGGUGGAUGCCCUGGCAGUCAGAGGCGAUGAAGGACGUGCUAAUCUGCGAUAAGCGUCGGUAAGGUGAUAUGAACCGUUAUAACCGGCGAUUUCCGAAUGGGGAAACCCAGUGUGAUUCGUCACACUAUCAUUAACUGAAUCCAUAGGUUAAUGAGGCGAACCGGGGGAACUGAAACAUCUAAGUACCCCGAGGAAAAGAAAUCAACCGAGAUUCCCCCAGUAGCGGCGAGCGAACGGGGAGCAGCCCAGAGCCUGAAUCAGUGUGUGUGUUAGUGGAAGCGUCUGGAAAGGCGCGCGAUACAGGGUGACAGCCCCGUACACAAAAAUGCACAUACUGUGAGCUCGAUGAGUAGGGCGGGACACGUGGUAUCCUGUCUGAAUAUGGGGGGACCAUCCUCCAAGGCUAAAUACUCCUGACUGACCGAUAGUGAACCAGUACCGUGAGGGAAAGGCGAAAAGAACCCCGGCGAGGGGAGUGAAAAAGAACCUGAAACCGUGUACGUACAAGCAGUGGGAGCACAGAGCAAUCUGUGUGACUGCGUACCUUUUGUAUAAUGGGUCAGCGACUUAUAUUCUGUAGCAAGGUUAACCGAAUAGGGGAGCCGAAGGGAAACCGAGUCUUAACUGGGCGUUAAGUUGCAGGGUAUAGACCCGAAACCCGGUGAUCUAGCCAUGGGCAGGUUGAAGGUUGGGUAACACUAACUGGAGGACCGAACCGACUAAUGUUGAAAAAUUAGCGGAUGACUUGUGGCUGGGGGUGAAAGGCCAAUCAAACCGGGAGAUAGCUGGUUCUCCCCGAAAGCUAUUUAGGUAGCGCCUCGUGAAUUCAUCUCCGGGGGUAGAGCACUGUUUCGGCAAGGGGGUCAUCCCGACUUACCAACCCGAUGCAAACUGCGAAUACCGGAGAAUGUUAUCACGGGAGACACACGGCGGGUGCUAACGUCCGUCGUGAAGAGGGAAACAACCCAGACCGCCAGCUAAGGUCCCAAAGUCAUGGUUAAGUGGGAAACGAUGUGGGAAGGCCCAGACAGCCAGGAUGUUGGCUUAGAAGCAGCCAUCAUUUAAAGAAAGCGUAAUAGCUCACUGGUCGAGUCGGCCUGCGCGGAAGAUGUAACGGGGCUAAACCAUGCACCGAAGCUGCGGCAGCGACGCUGAUGCGUUGUUGGGUAGGGGAGCGUUCUGUAAGCCUGUGAAGGUGUGCUGUGAGGCAUGCUGGAGGUAUCAGAAGUGCGAAUGCUGACAUAAGUAACGAUAAAGCGGGUGAAAAGCCCGCUCGCCGGAAGACCAAGGGUUCCUGUCCAACGUUAAUCGGGGCAGGGUGAGUCGACCCCUAAGGCGAGGCCGAAAGGCGUAGUCGAUGGGAAACAGGUUAAUAUUCCUGUACUUGGUGUUACUGCGAAGGGGGGACGGAGAAGGCUAUGUUGGCCGGGCGACGGUUGUCCCGGUUUAAGCGUGUAGGCUGGUUUUCCAGGCAAAUCCGGAAAAUCAAGGCUGAGGCGUGAUGACGAGGCACUACGGUGCUGAAGCAACAAAUGCCCUGCUUCCAGGAAAAGCCUCUAAGCAUCAGGUAACAUCAAAUCGUACCCCAAACCGACACAGGUGGUCAGGUAGAGAAUACCAAGGCGCUUGAGAGAACUCGGGUGAAGGAACUAGGCAAAAUGGUGCCGUAACUUCGGGAGAAGGCACGCUGAUAUGUAGGUGAAGUCCCUCGCGGAUGGAGCUGAAAUCAGUCGAAGAUACCAGCUGGCUGCAACUGUUUAUUAAAAACACAGCACUGUGCAAACACGAAAGUGGACGUAUACGGUGUGACGCCUGCCCGGUGCCGGAAGGUUAAUUGAUGGGGUUAGCGCAAGCGAAGCUCUUGAUCGAAGCCCCGGUAAACGGCGGCCGUAACUAUAACGGUCCUAAGGUAGCGAAAUUCCUUGUCGGGUAAGUUCCGACCUGCACGAAUGGCGUAAUGAUGGCCAGGCUGUCUCCACCCGAGACUCAGUGAAAUUGAACUCGCUGUGAAGAUGCAGUGUACCCGCGGCAAGACGGAAAGACCCCGUGAACCUUUACUAUAGCUUGACACUGAACAUUGAGCCUUGAUGUGUAGGAUAGGUGGGAGGCUUUGAAGUGUGGACGCCAGUCUGCAUGGAGCCGACCUUGAAAUACCACCCUUUAAUGUUUGAUGUUCUAACGUUGACCCGUGAUCCGGGUUGCGGACAGUGUCUGGUGGGUAGUUUGACUGGGGCGGUCUCCUCCUAAAGAGUAACGGAGGAGCACGAAGGUUGGCUAAUCCUGGUCGGACAUCAGGAGGUUAGUGCAAUGGCAUAAGCCAGCUUGACUGCGAGCGUGACGGCGCGAGCAGGUGCGAAAGCAGGUCAUAGUGAUCCGGUGGUUCUGAAUGGAAGGGCCAUCGCUCAACGGAUAAAAGGUACUCCGGGGAUAACAGGCUGAUACCGCCCAAGAGUUCAUAUCGACGGCGGUGUUUGGCACCUCGAUGUCGGCUCAUCACAUCCUGGGGCUGAAGUAGGUCCCAAGGGUAUGGCUGUUCGCCAUUUAAAGUGGUACGCGAGCUGGGUUUAGAACGUCGUGAGACAGUUCGGUCCCUAUCUGCCGUGGGCGCUGGAGAACUGAGGGGGGCUGCUCCUAGUACGAGAGGACCGGAGUGGACGCAUCACUGGUGUUCGGGUUGUCAUGCCAAUGGCACUGCCCGGUAGCUAAAUGCGGAAGAGAUAAGUGCUGAAAGCAUCUAAGCACGAAACUUGCCCCGAGAUGAGUUCUCCCUGACCCUUUAAGGGUCCUGAAGGAACGUUGAAGACGACGACGUUGAUAGGCCGGGUGUGUAAGCGCAGCGAUGCGUUGAGCUAACCGGUACUAAUGAACCGUGAGGCUUAACCUUACAACGCCGAAGGUGUUU
rnacentral:rRNA from 1 species